rnacentral:rRNA from 1 species
AUUGAACGCUGGAGGCAGGCCUAACACAUGCAAGUCGAACGAGUGGCGGACGGGUGUGUAAUGUCUGGGAAACUGCCUGAUUUAGGGGGAUCACUCCUGGAAACGGUAGCUAAUACCGCAUACCAUCCGAUGUUCCCAGAUGGGAUUAGCUAGUAGGUGGGUUAACGGCUCACCUGGGCGACGAUCCCUAGCUGGUCUGAGAGGAUGACCAGCCACACUGGAACUGAGACACGGUCCAGACUCCGACGGGAGGCAGCAGUGGGGAAUAUUGCACAAUGGGCGCAAGCCUGAUGCAGCCAUGCCGCGUGUAUGAAGAAGGCCUUCGGGUUGUAAAGUACUUUCAGCGGGGAGGCGUUACCCGCAGAAGAAGCACCGGCUAACUCCGUGCCAGCAGCCGCGGUAAUUC